CCUACGGGGGGCAGCAGUGAGGAAUAUUGGUCAAUGGGCGCUAGCCUGAACCAGCCAAGUCGCGUGAAGGAUGACUGCCCUAUGGGUUGUAAACUUCUUUUAUAUGGGAAUAAAGUGCAGCAUGUAUACUGCUUUGCAUGUACCUUAUGAAUAAGGAUCGGCUAACUCCGUGCCAGCAGCCGCGGUAAUACGGAGGAUCCGAGCGUUAUCCGGAUUUAUUGGGUUUAAAGGGGGCGUAGGCGGGUUGUUAAGUCAGUUGUGAAAGUGUGGGGCUCAACCGUCACAUUGCAGUUGAUACUGGCAGCCUUGAGUACAGUAGAGGUAGGCGGAAUUCGUGGUGUAGCGGUGAAAUGCUUAGAUAUCACGAAGAACUCCGAUUGCGAAGGCAGCCUGCUGGACUGUAACUGACGCUGAUGCUCGAAAGUGUGGGUAUCAAACAGGAUUAGAUACCCCGGUAGUC
rnacentral:rRNA from 1 species